GGCCUUUCCACAUCUUAUCCCUUCUGCUUUCUGAAGGACACCCAUAUGUUUCAUUCCCUUCCUGUUUCAGUUCUCACAUUAAUAUCACCUUAUUAUAAAUAGGGCUUUCUAUGAUCCCUCUCUGUAAAAUAACAACAUUCUCCAACUCUACCUUCUCUAUCCCUAUCAUCCUACUUAAUUUUACUUCAAGGCACUUAACAUCGAAAUCACAAUACAUUCAAUUGUUUAUUUAUUUAUUGUCUGCUUCCCAAACCUUCCCCACUAGACUAUAAAUAUUGUAUAAAUCUAAGAGCUUCUUUUUUUUUUUUUAAUUCAAGUCACUGAUCUCACAGCAUCUAGAAUGGUAUCUGUUACAGAGCUAGAUUCAAACUCCUGAGCUCAAGGGAUCCUCCUACAUCAGCCUCUCUAGUAGCUGAAACUACAGAAUGAUAUGGCUGUACCAAAUAAGAAAAUGUGUUUAAGGAAGAAACACCAACGUGUACAGGCUUAUCAAAAAUAGUGAUGACGUGCAUCUUGCCAAACCUAUUGCAACCUCCCCUUAG